rnacentral:lncRNA from 1 species
GUUUGUCCUUGUUUGGGUUGAAUGAAUCUUUCAAAUAAACAAUGAAGCAUCCAUCCAUUAGUUUUCUUUACGUGUGUAGCAGCAGUCUGUGCAGCUGCACUCAAUCUCCCAAUCAAUGAUUACCUGGGAAGGAGUAUAAAAUGGUUUGGCUCACCCUAUGGGGAGCUAAAGCACUUUGCCCAGCCAUGCCCAUUUCCUCAUUGUCAGCGCUCUGCUGGUUUGGGUAAGGUCAGCCAUGCUGUCUCCCAUAGUGAAUGGUGACUUGUUUUUAACUUGUUUUUUUUAUAUCCAGUCAACAAACCAAAGCACUUCAUUACUUGGAGAGGCUGACAUGGAUUACAUGUGCGCUGUGUAAAUCUUUUUCCUCCAGCCAUUCAGGUGCAGGAGAGGCACCACUGCUGUUUUGUGCUGUUUUGUUUCCUUGUUUCUGUGCGGUGCAGCGAAACAAAUUGUCAGGCUCCCGGAUACAGGCUACAGGCUUCCGGUUAGCCCCUGCUUCAGGUUUCCUGCUUCAGGCCCACGGCGAGCCCUCCCCGCUUCAAGCUUCAAGCUUCAGGCCCACGGCGAGCCCUCCCCGCUUCAGGCUUCAGGCCCACGGCGAGCCCUCCCCGCUUCAGGCCCUGGCGAGCCCUGGGACUGUAUAGACGGUUGCCUUUCCUUUAAUUUUUUUAGCUUGUUUUAAUUUGAUUAUCUUUUAGGGGUGAAGUGCUUGCAGAGCGUGUUGGGCGACAACAGUGGAGGCCCGUUUGUGUGCAUGUUCUGGUGUUGGUCAAAGUCCUUUCACGAGUGUGCGUGUCACUGUGGGGUGUGUUCAGUUUUGUUUUUCUUCUUUAUCCUCCCCUCGUCUGCCCAGCGUUCUGCCGGUAAGCCUUCCCCGAGCUAGGUUUUUAUUUUAACUUUUAUUGUUUUAAUUAAUUUUAUUUGUAAUAGAACUAUUUAUUCAAACUGGAACCACGUCUUGGCCUGUUGGGGAAAAAACUACGCGUCCUUUGUUAGGACUGCACCUGGGUUCCCCAGACCCGGUAUUCCGGGGUGGCGUUGUUGUUCUUGUUUUGGGGUGUACUGCAUCAGCAGCCCCCCACACCACCACUUUGCCACAACGUGCUACAUCCUUUUUUGAGGUUACAGAGUAGCCAAAGUCUAUCCCAGCUACUGUUCGGUUAGCGCGGCUACACCCUGGGCAUGUUGCCAGUCUGUUGCAGUGCUACAAUCACUACCACCUUCACACACCUUGGAAACACUUUACAGCAGGGUGUCAAACUUAAUCACCUAAACCUUAAAUAGCUUUCAAUAUUUUACACUCCGUAGAAAUAUAUUUUGUCAAAAUUAUUCAAUUUUGAAAUAUGUGCAAGAUGACGUCAAAGCAUUACUGUACUACAAUAAAAUAAAAUGAUCUGGCUGGCUGGAUAUAAUAAAACAGAGGACCAGAUCUGGCCCCCAGGGCCUCGACUUUGACACAUGGGCUUUAGAGUUACCACUUGAAGCAUGCUUUUGGACUGCAUGAAGAAGCCAGAGUGCCUGGAGAGAAAGUCCAUGCAUGCACAUGGAGAACAUGCAAACUCCACACAGUGGUUAGCGCUCUUGCUGUAAGACAAGAGCACUAACCACUGCAACACCAGGCAGCCCCUUACAUAAAGCAAGCAUGUCAAACUGUAACAGUUUUAUUUAUCUGUUUCUGGAUUAAUAAACAAUUUAUC